CUAAUACAUGCAAGUCGAGCGGAUCUUUUAAAGCUUGCUUUUAAAAGAUUAGCGGCGGACGGGUGAGUAACACGUGGGUAACCUACCUAUAAGACUGGGAUAACUCCGGGAAACCGGUGCUAAUACCAGAUAGUUUUCUAGCUCGCAUGAGUUAGAAAGGAAAGAUGGUUUCGGCUAUCACUUAUAGAUGGACCCGCGGCGCAUUAGCUAGUUGGUGAGGUAAUGGCUUACCAAGGCGACGAUGCGUAGCCGACCUGAGAGGGUGAUCGGCCACACUGGGACUGAGACACGGCCCAGACUCCUACGGGAGGCAGCAGUAGGGAAUCUUCCGCAAUGGACGAAAGUCUGACGGAGCAACGCCGCGUGAGCGAAGAAGGUCUUCGGAUCGUAAAGCUCUGUUGUCAGGGAAGAACAAGUACCGUUCGAUAAGGGCGGUACCUUGACGGUACCUGUCGAGAAAGCCACGGCUAACUACGUGCCAGCAGCCGCGGUAAUACGUAGGUGGCAAGCGUUGUCCGGAAUCAUUGGGCGUAAAGCGCGCGCAGGCGGUCCUUUAAGUCUGAUGUGAAAUCUUGCGGCUUAACCGCAAGCGGUCAUUGGAAACUGGAGGACUUGAGUGCAGAAGAGGAAAGCGGAAUUCCAUGUGUAGCGGUGAAAUGCGUAGAGAUCUGGAGGAAUACCGAUGGCGAAGGCAG
rnacentral:rRNA from 1 species